GACGAACGCUGGCGGCGUGCCUAAUACAUGCAAGUUGAGCGCUGAAGGUUGGUACUUGUACCAACUGGAUGAGCAGCGAACGGGUGAGUAACGCGUGGGGAAUCUGCCUUUGAGCGGGGGACAACAUUUGGAAACGAAUGCUAAUACCGCAUAAAAACUUUAAACACAAGUUUUAAGUUUGAAAGAUGCAAUUGCAUCACUCAAAGAUGAUCCCGCGUUGUAUUAGCUAGUUGGUGAGGUAAAGGCUCACCAAGGCGAUGAUACAUAGCCGACCUGAGAGGGUGAUCGGCCACAUUGGGAAUGAGACAAGGCCCAAACCCCUACGGGAGGCAGCAGGAGGGAAUCCUCGGCCAUGGACGAAAGUCCGACCGAGGAACGCCGGGGGAGUGAAGAAGGUUUUCGGAUCGUAAAACUCUGUUGGUAGAGAAGAACGUUGGUGAGAGUGGAAAGCUCAUCAAGUGACGGUAACUACCCAGAAAGGGACGGCUAACUACGUG
rnacentral:rRNA from 1 species